rnacentral:lncRNA from 1 species
UGUUGUAUUUUCUGUUGUUGAAAUAAUAUCAACCAGGUAGGGCCUGCUGGCUACAGGAAGUGCAAGGACAGAAGGUCCAGUGACACUGAAUGGUACAAAGCCAACAUGAAAAAUCAUCAACCAGCUGCAUGAAACAGAGUGAGAAUGCCACAGAAUUCUGAAUAUAAUUGGGAAACUUACCUAUGAAGAGUCAUUUACU